rnacentral:rRNA from 1 species
AGGGAAUCUUCCACAAUGGGCGAAAGCCUGAUGGAGCAACGCCGCGUGGGUGAAGAAGGUCUUCGGAUCGUAAAACCCUGUUGUUAGAGAAGAAAGUGCGUGAGAGUAACUGUUCACGUUUCGACGGUAUCUAACCAGAAAGCCACGGCUAACUACGUGCCAGCAGCCGCGGUAAUACGUAGGUGGCAAGCGUUAUCCGGAUUUAUUGGGCGUAAAGGGAACGCAGGCGGUCUUUUAAGUCUGAUGUGAAAGCCUUCGGCUUAACCGGAGUAGUGCAUUGGAAACUGGGAGACUUGAGUGCAGAAGAGGAGAGUGGAACUCCAUGUGUAGCGGUGAAAUGCGUAGAUAUAUGGAAGAACACCAGUGGCGAAAGCGGCUCUCUGGUCUGUAACUGACGCUGAGGUUCGAAAGCGUGGGUAGCAAAC